rnacentral:lncRNA from 1 species
GGGUUUUUGUAGAUUUUCAAAUAAAACUCAGAGAUUCCUUAUAUGACUCUCUCUAGUCUCUCUUUUGUGGUAUUUCUGGAUCCUUACCAAGGCAGUGAUGAUAUAUGCCUUCUCUCAAAGUAUGUAGUAUUUGUGGUAUGAGGCAUAGUGAUAUUGCCUUCUCUCUCACCCUACUCUAAUAAGGUUUGAUAUCUGGAGCUCAUAGGUGGGAGACAGCUAAUACAUACUUACAAGACAUUUAUUGCAUAGUCAAACCAUGGAUCCAGAGAAACAAGUCAAUAAGUCAAAUCAAGAUGUGCAUGUGUGGUGGAUGAAUGGUGUAUGGUGAUGAUGGUGAUAAUGGUGAAAAUAAUGGUGAAAGUCUAAUUCUACUUUUGCUCUUUUGAGGGGAUACAUGCCAUUCUUGUACUUUGAAGGUUUUUGAGAGGAAUGAGAUGCUCUAUAUUUUAUUUUUCUUUUCUCUCAGGUGGGUAUCUUGUACCCCUUUUUAUUUCCUCAUAUUCACUUUUUUUUUCAGAGCACUCACCCUCCGAGAAUAAUGUAGCAAGUGGUAGUAACCAAAAUAUCAAGAGCAUUUAUUUCACGGGGAAUAACAGGAAUAGGAUAAUGUUUUUGGCUAUUCUCUCCUGGAUAGGAGUAGAAUAAUUUUAGGUGAAUCUGGAGAUGGAAAGGAGUGGAUGUAUGUGGAUGCGUACUUCCAGAGUAGAAGCAGCAUGUAUGAGUGAACGUGAGAGUGAAUCUUGAUUUUAAUCGCAUGACAAGCUCCUAAGGGUCUACACAGCUUGACCACACUCAAUGCUCAUAAGCAGUAAAAAGUAAAUGUGUAGUUCAUUGUCUAAUAAGCAUGUAUAUAUGGCUGUGGUAGGAUUUUAAACUCUCAUCAUACAGGAACUCAUCAUGCAACAUUUUAAAGAUUUUCAAAUAAAAUUCUCCAGAAUUCUAGCAUCUCUAAGAACAGAUAAACAGCAGCUCAACCUUUCCAUAUCAUAUCCGUUAAUGACUUAGACUUUAGACCAAGUACUCUUCCCACAAGUUUAGGUUUAGAGCAAAUCUUAAUUCAUAACAGUCAUGCCUAAACUUGAGAGAGAAUUCAAUUUUGAGAACUAGUCAUGGCAGAGCAACUAUUCAUCAUUUCCAUGUGAGAGCUUAUCACAAGGGUUCAUAGCAAACUUUAUUUAUUUAUUUACGUAUUUAGCAAGCAAAGCAAAGAUAUAUAUAAGCACAAAAUCUUUAUUUGGGUUUUUAUGAUUAUGCAUCUUUUUAUUAUUUGAGUAAAGUAUAAACACGAGUAGAAACACUUAGCUAGAUAAAUGGGGGUGCUCUCCUCCAAGCUGGAUUUUGACGUAAUUUCUUCUAAUAUAUGAGUGAUGGUAGCAGAAUAGAGAGGAUAACUAUGGUUUCUCUACUUCAAAGGGGUAUGUCUAUGUCUGGGACGAACCACGGGAUAAGAAUACACCACAAAGGAUGCUUAUCCAUAGGCCGAUAAACCCUACCCGUCCUGCUAACAAGAGGUGGACUACACGGGACCAACGUAACUGUCACCUACGCGGCCUACCACACGAUCCAGCUAGAUAGGGGAUAUCCACAAGUAAUCUAGGUCUAAGCACCACGCUUACACCUAUACUACAACUCUCACCUAUAGCGUCCUAUAGAUUAAAGUACUCAAAAGAGUUGUGAACCAGAACAUACAUGAUUAGUAAUUGCAUAAUGAAUUAGAAGUAGAUUACCAGAGUCAUCCCAUGAGCAAGCUUGAUUAGAGCUUGAUCAUGACGAAGUACAACUGGAGGAAGAACCGACAGGCCGGCCUCUCCUCCAAUCCUCCCUCGCUCUCCAUCUCGCUACUAUCUAGAUCUACUCUAGUUUAGAGAUGAGAGGAGAGUUCUCAUCUCUAAACCCUAGCUUUUGCUCUGUCUAUGAAUAAUGAAUAAUGAUCAAGGGGUGCCUCCUCCAGGGGCCAGGGGGUCUGCUUAUAUAGUCCCCUCAAGUGAACCUGGGCCGUCGGAUCGAACCGACACUGAUUAUACGGUUAUUCUUGAUCCUUUAGGUCGGUGGAGCAUAAUCCGCGAGAUUGAGCGUGAUUUGUUGAAACUCUAGGGCGGGCGCCCAAGGGGGGAGGGUGGGCGCCCUGCCCCCAGGCCCGUUCGGCCUCCCGUUCAUUCCCGUGGCUUCUGGAGUCUUCUAGAUGAUAGAAAAUUGCACGGCACGUUAAUAUCUCUUUGUAAACCCGACGUGUGGGCCUACCUUCCACCAUGGGGCUUGCAACAGUCACUUAUGUCUUGAGCAGUUAAAAGAUAGAACGGUCAAGUCAAGCACCAUGUCUCUUGUUCUUUGAUCAACUAUAGCUCUGGGGUUUUUGUAGAUUUUCAAAUAAAACCCAGAGAUUCCUUGUAUGACUCUCUCUAGUCUCUCUUUUGUGGUAUUUCUGGAUCCUUACCAAGGUAGUGAUGAUAUACGCCUUCUCUCAAGUAUGUAGUAUUUGUGGUAUGAGGCAUUAGUGAUAUGCCUGUCUCUCUCACCCUACUCUAAUAAGGUUUGAUAUCUGGAGCUAAUAGGUGGGAGACAUCUAAUACAUACUUACAAGACAUUUAUUGCAUAGUCAAACCAUGGAUCCAGAGAAACAAGUCAAUAAGUCAAAUCAAAAUGUGCAUGUGUGGUGGAUGAAUGGUGUAUGGUGAUGAUGGUGAUAAUGGUGAAAAUAAUGGUGAAAGUCUAAUUCUACUUUUGCUCUUUUGAGGGGAUACGUACCUUUCUUGCACUUUGAAAGUUUUUGAGAGGAAUGAGAUGCUCUAUAUUUUCUUUUUAUUUUCUCUCAGGUGCGUAUCUUGUACCCCUUUUUAUUUCCUCGUAUUCACUUUUUUUCAGAGCACUCACGCUCCUAGAAUAAUGUUGCAAGUGGUAGUAACCAAAAUAUCAAGAGCAUUUAUUUUACGGGGAAUAACAAGAAUAGGAUAAUGUUUUUGGCUAUUCUCUCCUGGAUAGGAGUAGAAUAAUUUUAGGUGAAUCUGGAGAUGGAAAGGAGUGGAUGUAUGUGGAUGCGUACUUCCAGAGUAGAAGCAGCAUGUAUGAGUGAACGUGC